AUACUUACCUGGCAGGGGAGACACCAUGAUCAAGAAGGUGGUUCACCCAGGGUGAGGCUUAGCCAUUGCACUCUGGUUGUGCUGACCCCUGCGAAGUUUUGGGGAAGCUGUGGCCUAAUGGUUAGAGAGUCAGACUCGUAACCCAA
ensembl:snRNA U1 U1 spliceosomal RNA